rnacentral:tRNA from 1 species
AAGUUUGAAGUAAAUAAUACAUUUAGUUUCGACCUAAAAUUAUGAUUAAUAAAUCCUAACUU